rnacentral:misc_RNA from 1 species
GGAUGAUUUCUGAAUCCAUCAUUUGAAAAGCUAGAGAAGUCAGGUCUGUGAAUGGAAAUAUUCGACAUCAGAGGCCGUCUGCUUCCACUCCAGAUUGUUUCAGCUAAACGUUUCAAUCUUUUUAUACAACAAAAGAGAUUAAAAAAAAAAAAGGUUCUUUUUGGGUCUGAAAAAUCUGGAAAUAGUUGCAGGGUGGCGAUUGGGAGAAAAGGAUAGGGAAAAAGAAGGGGUUGGUCAUUGGAUGCAGCAGUUGCAAGUAACAACGUCUGCUUACCUGUCUAGUGGUGGGCCAAAAUACGAUGAUGUAAUAGUGGAUAAGACACAAAGCCACGUAUUUGCUGCAGCUUCUGCCAUAGCAAUUAGCACCGCUUUCUCCUCUGGCUUUGUUCUUAAUUAAUGCUUAUUUCUUUAACUGUGCGACAGGAAAAAUCAGUGCAUCACUACAUCCAUGAUCCAUCUGCUGCACUAAUAUUCCCAUCCAAUUAAAUUUAAACCCUUUCUAUUAUCAGAAAGGAAAUGGAUAAAAGUCGAGGAUUAAGGACUACCCCAACUAUAAUCUUCCAUUAUCUUGUCAGAUUUUACCUUAUCUAACGCAAUAUUAUCCUAAUAUGUUAUAAUUUAUCCUUCCAAAUCACUUUUCA